CCUCAGCAGCCCCACCUUGCCGAAGGGCAUGAGGUAGUGCUCCAGGUGGGGCCCGGACAGGGGCUCGGGGCGCUGGCUGUCGUCGGCCACCACGAUGGUGACAGAGGGGUAGAAGCGGCGGAUGCUGGCGAUGAGCCCCCGCAGUUUGUCAUAGCGCAGGAACGUCUUGGUGGCCACCGUCACCAGGGCCGAGAUGUUGUACCCUGGGGGAUGGGGGGGAGGCACUGGGAACCUGCACUCAGAGCACUGGGAGCACUGGGAGCUCUGGAAUCCCACACUGGGAGUGCUGGGAGCACUGGGAGCUCUGGAAACCUGCACCGGGAGCACUGGAAGAUCUGGGAUCCUGCACUGGGAUCCUGCACUGGGAUCCUGCACUGGCAGCGCUGGGAGCACUGAGAGCCUGCACUGGGAGCACUGGGAGCUCUGGGAUCCUUCACUGGGAGUGCUGGGAGCACUGGGAGCACUGGAAGCUCUGGGAUCCUUCACUGGCAGUGCUGGGAGCAGCAGGGGCAUGCUGGGGACGCUUGGGUACCUGUCCAUACUGGGAGCACUGGGAACCCAUUCUGGGAACCCACUCUAGGAGUGCUGGACACUUCAGUACCGGUCACCUGAGCACUGGGAACCCACACCGGGAGCACCAGUCACCCCAGUACUGGGAGGACUGGGCAGUACUGGGAGCACUGGGACACUCACUGGGAGCACUGAGCACCCACAUCGGGGGCACUGGGCUCCCACGCUGGAAGGACUGGGACAGUCACAGGGAGCACUGGGAGGGCUGGGUCACUGCUACUGGCAGAACCAGCUGGCUCCAGCACUGGGAGCACUGGGAUUCUGGCACUGAGGGCACUGGGAGCACUGGGAUUCUGGCACUGAGGGCACUGGGAGCACUGAACACCCACACUGGGAGCACUGGGAGCAGGGAUGGGAGCACUGGGGGCACUGGGAGCACUGGGAGCAGGGAUGGGAGCACUGGGGGCACUGGGAGCACUGGUUCGGGGUGCAGGGCCCCGUG
rnacentral:lncRNA from 1 species